rnacentral:rRNA from 1 species
CGGCAGCGCGGGGCAACCUGGCGGCGAGUGGCGAACGGGUGAGUAAUAUAUCGGAACGUACCCUGGAGUGGGGGAUAACGUAGCGAAAGUUACGCUAAUACCGCAUACGAUCUAAGGAUGAAAGUGGGGGAUCGCAAGACCUCAUGCUCCUGGAGCGGCCGAUAUCUGAUUAGCUAGUUGGCGGGGUAAAAGCCCACCAAGGCAACGAUCAGUAGCUGGUCUGAGAGGACGACCAGCCACACUGGAACUGAGACACGGUCCAGACUCCUACGGGAGGCAGCAGUGGGGAAUUUUGGACAAUGGGCGCAAGCCUGAUCCAGCAAUGCCGCGUGAGUGAAGAAGGCCUUCGGGUUGUAAAGCUCUUUUGUCAGGGAAGAAACGGUGGGGGCUAAUAUCCCCCGCUAAUGACGGUACCUGAGGAAUAAGCACCGGCUAACUACGUGCCAGCAGCCGCGGUAAUACGUAGGGUGCAAGCGUUAAUCGGAAUUACUGGGCGUAAAGCGUGCGCAGGCGGUUUUGUAAGUCUGUCGUGAAAUCCCCGGGCUCAACCUGGGAAUUGCGAUGGAGACUGCAAGGCUAGAGUUUGGCAGAGGGGGGUAGAAUUCCACGUGUAGCAGUGAAAUGCGUAGAUAUGUGGAGGAACACCGAUGGCGAAGGCAGCCCCCUGGGUCAAAACUGACGCUCAUGCACGAAAGCGUGGGGAGCAAACAGGAUUAGAUACCCUGGUAGUCCACGCCCUAAACGAUGUCUACUAGUUGUCGGGUCUUAAUUGACUUGGUAACGCAGCUAACGCGUG